rnacentral:rRNA from 1 species
UACGUAGGGUGCAAGCGUUGUCCGGAAUUAUUGGGCGUAAAGAGCUCGUAGGCGGUCUGUCACGUCGGAUGUGAAAACCCAGGGCUCAACCCUGGGCCUGCAUUCGAUACGGGCAGACUAGAGUUCGGUAGGGGAGACUGGAAUUCCUGGUGUAGCGGUGAAAUGCGCAGAUAUCAGGAGGAACACCGGUGGCGAAGGCGGGUCUCUGGGCCGAAACUGACGCUGAGGAGCGAAAGUGUGGGGAGCGAACAGG